rnacentral:rRNA from 1 species
UACGAAGGGGGCUAGCGUUGUUCGGAAUUACUGGGCGUAAAGGGCGCGUAGGCGGCCCGAUCAGUCAGAUGUGAAAGCCCCGGGCUCAACCUGGGAACUGCAUUUGAUACUGUCGGGCUUGAGUUCCGGAGAGGAUGGUGGAAUUCCCAGUGUAGAGGUGAAAUUCGUAGAUAUUGGGAAGAACACCGGUGGCGAAGGCGGCCAUCUGGACGGACACUGACACUGAGGCGCGAAAGCGUGGGGAGCAAACAGG